CCACGAACAAUUAAGCAGAGCCCAGUGAGCAAUGCCUGCAAAUUGCAGCAUCCUCAAUACUGUACGCAGCCUGUUGUUUGCAUGGGUUGCCCGAAGGGACCUUGGAGGCAGCU